UUGUAGACAUCAAGAGAAUUGUCAAAUGAACGUCAUCUGAAAAUGUCGAAAUAAAACCCAGUCAAAAAUUGAAACUAAUUUAGGAAAUGAUUUCCCAAAAUCUCGUUGAAAAUGUUGAUUUCAGUUGCUAAAAUUACUGCCUGCGUUGUGAUCAUCAUUGCCGGAAUCAGAUAUAUAAGGCGAUAGAAGAUUUUUCAAGAGGUAUAUCCAUGAAAAAUGUUUUUGGUGUGUGAUGUAAUAUAACCUCAUUUUCCCCUAUAAUAUAUUGUUUUGAAUAUA